CCUGCGGAGAGAUGGCGGUGGCCCCAGGUCGGGGCCCACGGCGGGUACGGUUGGCGCCCGCCCCGCGCCCCGCCCCUCCCGGGAGCAGCCCCCGGCCCGGUAGCUCCCUGACCGCCCUGGGACUCACGGCGUGACUCCGUGUAUUGUGGGCAAGGAAGUGAACCGGGCUCAGCCCGUUGAAGGAACUGGCCUGCGAUGACGCGGCCUGGAUCAGAACCAGCAAGAAAGACCUUGAAGGGCAGAGGAAAUUCUUCCAACAGUUGACACAGUCAGCAGGACACUUUAACUUGCUGGACAUGACUGCAACUGAAGUCCUUGGGACAUCUGACAUACAGCCAGCAGAAGGACACAAUUGGAAACAUUUGUCAUGUAACCAAGGCUUUGACUGGAGUGUCCUAUUUGAGAGAGAUGCAUAACCUCAGCUAUGACCAGACAGCUUGAAGGAACCAGGUUAACUUUAAGAAGCCAGUAAAGCCCCCAGAAGUACCAGUUUGUUACCCUGCUUACAGAGUUCCCAGCUGCCUUACCAACUUCUACGUUGGAUUUAUCCGAGAACUAAGAAGCCCUACAAACUUAACUUAGUAAACUUCCGAGAAAUCACCACAACAGCUCUCCUAUAGGCAAUCUUCAUGCCUGUUGCUCUGUGGGCCACUCAAAACGAUCACCAGAGACAUUUGAACUACAAACCAGGAAAAUCCGUCAGACUGCCACUGCGCACUAAAGAUGGUUCAAGCUUAACAUCUAAAAAUCAUCUUGACUAACCUCAAAAUUCAGAAAUUGGUUUAUAAUUUGAUCCAAUCAGUAACCAGUGUUUUUGUUUCCACAGAAAUGCCUCUUAUUUAAUACCUGAUUGCUUGAACCUUAGGCCUAACUUGCAUCACUGCCUCCCGAAAUGAGUCUGAACUGACCUAUGGCCAGGACUGGUUCAAUAAGACCAAACAAGCGGCUAGCUCAAUUUUAAUGUGUGAAAUUUCAGGGAAGUUUCGGAGGAGGAAACUGCAGGGGCCCAGGGCAGGACACCCCAAAUGGGCCACUUUGGCAUGAACAUUAUUUUGAGUUAAAAGCAAACAAAACCCAGGAAAUUCAGGCUUCCCCCUCAACGGCCUAAAUUUACAUUGGAAGGGGGAGAGCCUGUACCAAGAAGUGACUGUUAAGAGAUUCCGCUUUACCAAAGAAACUUACCUAAGAGGACAAACUUUAUUCUCCAAACAUUUCCUCUCACCUUCCUGCUAAUGGUCUUUCUCCCCUUUGUAUCCUCAGACUCCUACCCCUUCUCCUUAGUUCAUAGAAGCCUCAUGUUGCUGGUCUUCAGAAUUUCAUGUCUGUGUGGAUUCCCCAUACAUACGAAAUUAAAUCUGAUACUCUCCUCAUCUGCCUCAUGUCAACUUGGUUCUUAGUCCAGCUAGAAGGACUUCGACGGCCAGAGAAAAUUCUUCUUUCCCGAUAUAGCAGUCCUAUAUGGUUGGAAGAAAUCCUACUUGAUCUGUUAUUUUACUAUAGUAUUAGCUAAUUUUAUAUGAGAUUCUUUGGUCUAGAAUAGUAUCUUUCCUUUUUUAUGGUACCUUUGUCAGCUUUAGGAUUAUCUUAGCCUCUCCUAAUAUGCAUGUUUUUAGUUAAAUAAUUUCAAAUUCCAGGGAUCUUUCUCACCAUCAUCACUCCUUUCUAAAUGAAAACGAAGCUUGUCAAUUAUUCCAAAAAGCACACAAGUAAUCCUUGCAUUAAAGCAUGUAAAAGCAUGUAAAAUGUAAUCGAUUACGACUCUGUUUAAUAAAGAAAUGCAUAUAUCAAUUAAAAUUCAUCACACUCUGGAUGUCCAAAAAAAGUAGUACCCUUAAUUGAUAAUAUGACUCUACCAUCUAGUUUUUUAAGCCAACAGUAAGCUCUUUAACAACAUAAAAAUCAAGUCUGAAAAUUCAAAGGAAAGCCCUCUGAGAAUGCAGGAAACCUGUUUCCAGCCAAGCCCGAAACCCCUCAGGAUGGUCUGGGCCCCCUGAAGCUAAAUCCCAAUCACAUCAAAUUUC